rnacentral:rRNA from 1 species
AUGUCCACGAAGGAAACAAGGCUUAAAGAAGUUAAUUCUGUUGGGAUGAAAGAUUGGGCUAAUAUUCAGACUGAUAUUGUUGGUCUAAUUAUAAAGAAGCUUGGCAUUCCUGACUACAUCAGAUUCCGUGCUGUAUGCACGUCAUGGAACCAUAUCUGCAAGGAAGUAUCCAACCAUCCACGGGUGGACCCAUGGCUGAUGCUCCCCACAAAGGCGCUUGAAGGUGCUAAAUUUUUUAGGUUACCUGAAAAAAAGAGUCAAACCAUCCAUAUCCCGAGUGUUGCCACGAUCUUUGGAUCCAUGUGGACUCCGGUUGGUUCAUCCCAUGGCUGGCUUAUCUUCUUUAGCCCGCCACAGGGAACCAUCCAGCUGGUUAAUCCCAUCAGCAGCACAUCGUUCCAACUCCCCUCAAUCGGAAGGAAGCACCUGUCCAAGGCCAUGUUGCUUGACAUGAGUGAGAGCAACUUCACUGUUGCUGUCAUCCAUCGCGACCAAAAAGGAUACCAAGUGACACGCAAAGGAAGUAAAAGCUGGUCGUUUGUCGAUUCAAAACACAUUUUGGUGGAUGUCUUCAAGCACCGAAGGCAACUUUACACCAUUGAUGUAUAUGGCACGGUCGAGGUGUGGGCAGAGCCUCCCCGUUCAUGGCCAGAUGAUGACUUCCCCCAGGUGGAACCGCAUAUGCACAACCUCGUCCACUACCAACACCAGAAGUUCAACUGUCUGGUGGAGACCCCGUCCGGACACCUCAUAAGGGUCAAGCGCCAGUCGCAGAACAAGUUUGCGCUGUGGGUCCUCGACAGGGAGACCUCUUCCUUCGAGCGGACCAGCGACAUUGGGGAAUUCGGGCUGUUCGUCAGCCACUACAGCUCGUUCUGUUUCCCGGCCAAGGACCAUCCGUACCUGAAGGCAAACUGCGUCUACUUCAUCGACGGCUACAACAACAUGUGCGCGUUCAACCUUGAGCAUGGGACCAAGGAGCUCGUAGAAGCCCUCGAAACCGCUGCCCCUGCUCAGAGUCAGCAAGACUUUUACGGGCGCCAGCCUCGAGCAGAGCCGUUCCUAUGGUUAAUCCCUUCUCUGAAGUGA